GCUCUAAACUCAAAUCUCUUCCAGUAAAAGGGAUGCCCUCUUCCAUCUCUGAACUAUUUAUUUCUUGGUGCCCAUUGCUCAAACCACUCCUAGAAUUUGAGAAGGGGGAUUACUUGCCAAAUAUUGCUCAUAUUCCCACCAUACGUAUCGAUUACGAAUACCUGUGAUGAUUAAAACGAAGGUGUUCUAACAUAUUGUGAAGAGGUUAUGAAACAGAGGAAGCAUCUUCAAUUUGGGAUGAAUUGAAUGUUAGAUGACAAAAAGAAAAGUGAGUUAAGCGAGGAGGAGGUGGUUUAGAGUAAUGCAUGUGCACUAUAGAAUUCAACGGUAUACGCGACACAAAGUUUGUCUCCUAUCUAUAAAAAAUAGAAAAUUUUGCUUCCCAAUAUGAUUAUCAGAUAUCACCUUAGCUCCAUUGGUGACUGGAAAGUUGCGCUGAAUGUGGUCUAUCAGCAAAAUGGAAUGAAGUUUUGUCGCUGCUGGAAGAAGGGCUUCCCUCAUCUCUUUUUGAGCUAAGAAUAGGUCUUUGGUGCCUCACUUCGCUUCAACGUCUAGAAAUAGCCUCCUACUAUCGAUUCCAUUACCAAUUUCUGAGGAUUGUGGUGAUCAAAUAUUGUUGCUUAACAUGGGAAGGAAAAGCUGGGCAGAGAAUUGUCAAGGUUCAGUCUUAAUUAUGUGAAAUUCCCAUCUCGUCAUGGACACAUGGUGAAUGCGCUCAAUGCACACUUGGUGAAUUGGCCAAAUCUGGUGCAUAUCCUCGCUGUAAAGUGGUGGCCAUCUCUGUAUCACCAUCUGCCUUGGGAUACAAGGAGAGUUGCCUUUCUCCAUCACUUCAGUAUACAUCUAUAUGUUUGCGCAAAGGCGAGACUGGUUCAACAUUUGGAUUUCAGGUCACCUCAUCUGGUAUGCCACAUAAAGUUGUAUCCUCUUAUUAACAUAAGCUAGUUUGUCAGUAAACUCGUCUGUAAUAUCCUUUUUAUGUACUUCACCUUGUUUGUUUACUCGUCGUUUUUUUCCUGUCACAUAAUGUUUAUUUGUUUCCCCAGUCGCUGGAUGUAUAGCAAUGAUGAGGGUCGUUCAUUCCUGUACUCCUAUUCGUCGAUUUCAGUCCUUUGAAGAAGCAAAAGUUCGAGACAGUUUAGAUGUAUGCAAUCUGAUCAACUUUACAAUCAGGCACACUUUGCCUGUUCCCUGUAAGAAAUUCACAUGAAGUUUGCAAAAGCAAAUAAUUAUAAAAAUUAAUGUGGAAAUCGAGAACGGGAAAGGAGUGGCCAAUAGAUUACUCGAGUUAUCACCUUAAUUAUGAAGUGCAUAUGCUGAGCAAGGGAAGCUGCUCAGCUUUGUUCAUCUCUUGCACAGAGAUAAAGGGUUCAAAGAAUGCAACCGCACUUUCUCAGAUAUUGAAAUGUCUUCCGAUAUCUGCUUCCAUAACUUAAGCACAUGUUAUAUCGCAUUGAUUUCAAGUUGAUGCAGUUGCAUCUGAUAGCAAAUACUGAGAUUUUGUCAGUAUUUGGAUCUUUAGACAGUAGUUAAUACAUCAAUUUUUUGUUUUGAAUAUUCAUAGAUUUGGAUAAAAGAUAUAAACAUUAAGCUGAUGUUGUAAAUAUAAACUUCGAGUGGCACCUCAGAACUAGGGGAAAGGCAAGGAAACAUAUGCUACUCGGAAUGAUUUCAAGUUGUUCAAUACUCUGUUCGUUGUUCUUAAACGCCAGUCAAUUCGUGGAAUCGCGAAGAAGAGCAUGAAUGGUCAGAAACAUGCAGUCCCUAUUUCACAAUCAGUUUGGUUUUUUUGAGUUGCUGAGAAGGGAAAGCUGUUGAGAUAUUUAAGUUACUCUGAGAAUUAGGGACUUCCUAUUAGGCCUUUCUGCUCUGGUUACGUUUGGCCAACAGAAAGCAAAAGACGACAUAAUUAUUGGACUUUCUCUAGUAAAUAAUCUGAACUUCUGGAUGUGAACGGUUAGAGCAAACUGUAAAUGCACUGUAAAAUGUACGAGAAACAGAGGAGAUUCUGAGGAGAGAACGUUGAAUGUCAAUGAGAAGAGAAAGUAAAGUUUCAAUGGUCUCCUCAGGUUGGCUAGUGAAAGUAGUGCAGCAGGUUUGAGGGACAGGUUUCCAAAAGUACAUUAUCAAUAAAUCAGCUAUAGCUGUUUCUGCAAUUGGUAGCGCAAAUGCUGAUCUGUUUCACUUCCUCUACAACAUUGUUUGCUACUAUUGUCGAUAAUCAGAUUCCCGCUAAGUCAUUCAAGACUGAUGUUGCUACUGUUCAGAAGAUCAAGGCUGGUCUCUCAUCCUAGGAUCUCAUUGUUGCUCGUCGAAUUUCUAAAUAAAACUUUACCUCAGGAAUUCAGUACUCAUUUGCAAAAAAGAUUCAUAUGUAAUGUUUUCAUUCUUUCUUUGUUUGUUGGUAAUCUUAUCAUUAUGAUAUUGGCUGUUCAUUUUCCUAUUAAUAUGUAACCUUUAGUCUGCUGUCUAAAUCCAAAGAGGUUAUAACAGUUGACCAACUUUGUUA